ACGCAGAACAACAAUAAGAACAUUUUCAUUUGGCAACAGGUCUCAUACGCACCAAGUACAUACAUUUUAAAAUACAAUGUUAUCAAAAAUUAAUAUUAUACUACUUUUGUGCGCCGUGUGUUGUAUAGACAAAAGUAGUACCGAAGUUAGUAGAGCUAUACCAGUAGAGUUAGUGGAAACUGCUACUAGUGUGCGAAAAGAGGAUGAAGAUUCUACGAGUACGGUGAAUAUAAAUCUAGAUGAAAUCACAGACGAUCAAUGGAAAAGUAUAUUUAUCAAGCACGAUACCGAUAAAAGUGGUUUAAUCUCUUCAAAAGAAUUACAGAAACUAGUAUUCGAUGAGUUCAACGGAUUUCUCCCCGUUGACCAUGCAGAUAUAUAUACAAAGAAAAUUAAUUUAAAUGAUAAUACAAAUAUAAAUUUGGAACAGUUGAAAAAAUGGUCACCGAUAAUAUUUUUUUUGACAAUGAAAGAAAGUUUUGUGGAGAAUGAAAACGUCAACGAAAAUGACACUUUUUCGAGUGAAUCUUUCGUGGAAGUAAUAAAGAGAAAUACAGAUGCUAAAAUACUGUUCCCAGACGGGGAAGGAAUUUCAGAAUUACUAGAUCUUAAUGUAAAAUGGCCAAUAAAAUGGACGAGGGUCGAGGAAAUAUUAAAAAUGUUUGCGGAUACGGUAGCGGUGGCAAAUAUAUACAAGGGAUUUUGUAUAAUUGACGAAGACCAUGAUGGCUUUAUUGGCGUUGAUGAACUUGUUAAAGCAUUGAGCGAAAUUGAUUCAGACAAGGCCAUUGAAGAAUUAGACUCUGAGGAAUCAGCCAUUAAAGCCAAAAAAUCAGUCACUAAAAUGAUCAUGGAGGGGGAUAUAAACGGCGACGGUUUGAUCGAGUUUUAUGAAUAUAUGCUGGUAAUGAAUAAUGAUUAUAAGCAGUUCAAAGAAUCAAAUAUGAACUUUUAUAACUAAACUCUACUCUCGACUCAAGAGAAUAUUUAUUCAUUGAAAAUUAUAACAGUUUUACAGAAUAUCAAUAAUAUUACAAAUUAUUUCUCAAAAUAAUAUAAAAAGAAUACACUUACCUAAAUAGGAUUAAACGGUUGUCAAUAAUCAAUCGGUUAUUUAAUUAAUUUGUGUACAUGCUGAAGAUUUAAUAAAUAUA